AUUGAACGCUGGCGGCAGGCCUAACACAUGCAAGUCGAGCGGAUGAAGGGAGCUUGCUCCUGGAUUCAGCGGCGGACGGGUGAGUAAUGCCUAGGAAUCUGCCUGGUAGUGGGGGAUAACGUCCGGAAACGGGCGCUAAUACCGCAUACGUCCUGAGGGAGAAAGUGGGGGAUCUUCGGACCUCACGCUAUCAGAUGAGCCUAGGUCGGAUUAGCUAGUUGGUGGGGUAAAGGCCUACCAAGGCGACGAUCCGUAGCUGGUCUGAGAGGAUGAUCAGUCACACUGGAACGUGGACACGGUCCAGACUCCUACGGGAGGCAGCAGUGGGGAAUAUUGGACAAUGGGCGAAAGCCUGAUCCAGCCAUGCCGCGUGUGUUAAGAAGGUCUUCGGAUUGUAAAGCACGUUAAGUUGGGAGGAAGGGCAGUAAGUUAAGACCUUGCUGUUUUGACGUUACCAACAGAAGAAGCACCGGCUAACUUCGUG
rnacentral:rRNA from 1 species